AUCACACGAUGAGGGAUGAAAAGCAACAUUCUAAACAUUACUACGGCGUCCAGCGCGCCGCUCUGGCUGUUGUGCACCACAAAGCCACAGAUGACCCUGUCAACACCGACCCAGCAGCAGAUGUAAGGGCCGCUGUCGGCACGCCGGUGUCACUGCCCAAACAGCUGUGCCACCAGAGGCGGGGAGUCUCCCCCGCCGAUGAUGGAUGACUCGGACGAGUUCUGCCACACUCACCGCUCCACACAGCUUCACGGACUUCACUGUUUCAUCGUGAGCUUAAACACGUCGAUGGUGUGGCCCCGCCUCUCGCCCCCUUCCGGCUGGGAUUGGCUGCAGCUCCCUGCGAGCCUCAUGUGGAGGAUUAAUGGCGUAAUCCUAAAUCCAGUCCCACUGCCAGCCCCUCUGUGACCGAGACCACGCGGCGUCGCCUCUUCAUGAUCUCUGCUGCACGUUUGCAUCUCCAGGACUGAGGCAUUGUCUCCAGCAUCACUAGUGACACUGUUAUCAUGUGAUGUCAAUUUACUGUGUGGCAUCAGAGCAGCGGCGAAUUUCAAGCCAAGCUAUUUUUAAAUUGGAAUCAUAUUUUCUUGUUUACAGGUCUGGAAAUAUCUCAACCUCCCAAACAAGCGCAGGGAUUUGGGGACCUGACAGCUUAAUAGAAUGAUUAUUCAAAUCUGGUUGAUACUGGAAAUUGGCAGUGCAAAGGGCUGACGGGGGUUUGCACUAAAAACUGUUCUGUGAGGCGGGGUGGGGGCGCAGGAAGCAGUGUUUCUACGUGUCAACAAGAUGCAAAUAGGACCCAAAAAUGGAGGUCAGGUGUACUUUUGUGAAGGCAGUGUGUGCACAUGUUUUCAUUGAAGCAGUCACAGAGGAGACAGAUUUGAAUAAAAUAUCAUUCAGCCGUCUUUCCUGUAUGCAAAUGGUGUUGUCGCGCCGGCAUCGUGGCAAUUAGGCAACG